AGAGUGACCUAGAUAACCCAGGAUACUUAUCACCUCCAUAUUCUUAAUAGGCCAUUUGUUUGAAGUUUCUUGUUGUAGCUGUUUUCUUUUGUUUUGGUGUUUGUUUUGUUUUUAUUUUAAAAUAAAAUAGUGUUCUCAGGGUUCAGGGACUAGGAUAUGGACAUAUUUUUGAGAGGCCACUAAGUAGCCCACAACAGAAAGACAAUGAGAUCAAGUCCAUCUAGUUCCUGCAUUUGAAAAGCACAAACUAGAGAUGCGGAUAUAAAUCAAUUGGUGUUUGUUUUGCAUGCACAAGAAAAUAUCUGAAAAGCAGUCAAGAACAAAAGAGAAAGGAGUGAAGUAUAGAAUUAAAUACAUGAGAGAUAGUAUUUGAAGUAAAGAAGCCAUAGUAAUUAUAUUUUUAGUAAUCUAAAAAGAAUGAACAGGGGCAUAAUGGCCAAGGAGAUUGGCCUGGAAGGAAACAGAAAGCUAGAUUUGCUCUUCUUAUGCAUGCAUUUGAAUGAGCGACCUAAGGAAUCUAGCUCUAGCCAAUUAGAAAACAGUGGUGCUGAGUGCUCCUUGAAUUCUCACACUCAAGUAAGUGCCUGAAAUUCAGGGAGUGAGCUAGGGUAGGUUGAGUAACAGAUUCAAAGACACUAAAUAGCACAGUGAAUUGAUAAGCAGAAUCGGAAUGAGCGUCUGCUUGGGACAGUGGCUCUGCAAGCUGAUGAGAGAGAAAAUAAACUCAGUCCCCUGAUGGAAUGUGACAGUCUGAGGAUGGCAAUAUCAGAUGGGCUGUUCAGAGGUACAGCUGAUGCCUCUCACAGUCAAGCUGAUCAUGGAUCUUAAAGCACGACAAUCAGGUUGUGUCUAAAUCAUGAGACAACUGUAGUUUGGAAGGCUGGGGCUUUUAUACUCUCUGUAUUUUAUGCCCUGUCAGUACACUAAAAAUAUAGUAACAGGCAGCUCUUGUCAUUUUUUUCAUCCUUGCUACAAAGUCUUGUUUUUAAUUAGAAUUUCACCACCUACCAUAUGAUCCCUAGAAAUAAUUUUUAUGAACAUUCAACAUAUGUAUGGAAAACAGGCAUUAUAAAAUCAUUUUUAUGCAAGCCAUUAAAAAAUAGUUUUGGAAGCCUUUUCCCCCACAUUAGUAACAACAUUUUACCCUUCCAGAAUGUAAAGCCGAUAGAUUGAUCUCAGCAAAACUUCCCUAAAUUUAAGAAUUCCCAAGCUAAAUAAUAGAUCCUAUUCAUUAAAGAAACUUUUAGAAGCAAGCUAGCUGCUUGCCUUGUGUUUCUGAACAGUUACUAUACUCUGCAUCUUCUCUAGCUUAAAUAUUAAUAGAUUUUCCCGCACACCCAAGUUUAGAAUGGUGAAGGAAAGCUGUUCCUAUUUUUAAACUGCAAGGCAAGCCGGCUUCUGGACAACACAGAAGACAGAUGUAAAGAAUGACCGAGAAAGGUAAUCUCUGUCUUUACAGGCUUUGGGUGCACAUGUUCUCUCAGCUAGGACCUGCAUCACCUGCUUCCCCAUUGAGAAUAUUUGCAAUCCAGUAGCCUGUCUGUGUGGGAAAAUGUGAAAAGCCACAAAGAGAGGUCUGAACUAGCACCUUGAGACAAAGGCACACACCCAUGGGUGAAGCCAUUAACCAUCUUUCACUGCAACAGCAGGCUUGGAUUUACAUAAUUCUUAUUGGUUUCCUCUUUUUAUUUGGAAAGCAGCCAAUAGAAUUUUAAAAUCAGUUAUCUGACAUGGAGAAAAUAUUGCCCAAUCAUUAGCCAAAACUCAUAAGGUAUUUUAAAUAGAAGCCUCUCUAUUAUUAUUGUACUAACUCUCGGGAGUUAUUACAAUGAAGAAAAAUCCAGCUAACCAAGGUCUUAAUUGAUACUUUGUUCGACAAAAUUGGAGGUGUUUGCUGAACCAACAAUCAUUAAAGGAAAACUAAAUGACAUUUGCAGUUUCAUAUUGAAGCUGGACCUGGUAAAUGGGUGAGCACUGAGGUACACCCUACAUCACAAGUAAAUAGACAUGGAAGCCUCUCUAGUACCACAUCUUAGGAAUCUACACUAUUUUGUAUGUCAGCGUCUGAUCCUCAGAAGGCAUCAGUAUGAGAAUAUAAGUAUUAGCAGCACAUUUCACACUAACCAAGCAACUGGGUUUUAUGAGGAAAAUAGAAACAUAUCAGCCUCCCACUAAAAAUGACCAUGAGCCAUGGGAAACACUGUUACCAAAAGACAUCCAAUGACACUUGGCUAGAUGGGACUUAAAGAAGCAAACCCACUGUUACCCAACACCUGAGAACCCAAAUGGUGAAUAACUGCUCUCAAGUAAUUCUUCCACUGUACUAACUUAAACCAUUUUAUCAUUUUAGGGGAGAAAAAUAAUGACAAAAGUCUAUACAAAAAGUACUAUGAAAUAUGUUUAAUCCUAAGAAGGAUAUGAUUAUUAGUAACC
rnacentral:lncRNA from 1 species